CAGCAGCCGCGGUAAUACGUAGGGUGCAAGCGUUAAUCGGAAUUACUGGGCGUAAAGGGCGCGUAGGCGGUUCGUACAGUUGGAUGUGAAAUUCCUGGGCUUAACCUGGGGGCUGCAUUCAAUACGUGCGGGCUUGAGUGUGGAAGAGGGUUGUGGAAUUCCCAGUGUAGAGGUGAAAUUCGUAGAUAUUGGGAAGAACACCGGUGACGAAGGCGGCAACCUGGUCCAUAACUGACGCUGAGGCGCGAAAGCGUGGGGAGCAAACAGGAUUAGAGACCCCUGUAGUCCCUGUCUCUUAUAC
rnacentral:rRNA from 1 species